rnacentral:lncRNA from 1 species
GACAUAAAAUUGAAGACAACCAGGGUGAAGAAGAGAAAACCUAGUUCUUCUAUGGAGGUGCUGGGUGAGAUUUUCUCCCCUCAUCCUCAGGAUUACAGUCA